UCUUGUCUCUUCUUAUUAAUCUUGUUUCUUCUUAUUAAUCUUGUUUCUUAGUUGUGGCCCAGGUUUCAAACCUGGGCCACAACUGACAGCCAGACGGAACUCGGAUCUGGCGAUCUCGGAGCUACACCCCACAUCUGAUAAUUAACGGUAAAAAAGAUUUCUAAAAAAGCUCCGUGGAAAACUUGCAGAUUGCUUUCACCCUCACUGGAUCUUACAUUUUCUUUUUACAUAGAAACCAAGGAUGCGCACACGGUCCACAACGGACUGUAAAGGUUUAACUAAAUGAAUCGUAUCUAACCUAGAUUCUCAUUAACUAAAUGUCAAGCCUUAAAAAUUGUGCUUAAAAUCGAAAAUCGUCUGAUCGUAAAUUUGAGGAACAAGUUUCCAUUUUUUAAAUUUUGCUCCGAAUUGAAACUCUCUUAAUCUUAUACAUGAAUCUUAAACUAGCCUUUGGACGUAGUAUCUCUCAAUACCACGUUUACACCUGUAAAUCUUCAACCAGAUUGAAAAGACUCCGAUGUGCAUACUCGUUAAUAAAAGCCCAAGAUAUAAAAUUAGUCUAAAAUUGAAGAUCUUACUUAAAUAGUCAAAUGUUUCAACUUAAGUCUUGAAUUCCAAUGAUAUUCGAAAUUCCAAAAUAAGAACUCUAUUAACAUGUUUAAUUAUAACCCCGACGGCCUUGAUUUCAAAGGGAAAUGGAAGAUUUCUUUUUUCCUUUCUUCAUGGUUCUCUCUUUACCUAGUUAAACUGAAACCUGGAAGAUGAAUGAGCAGCGAACCUCAGAGGAUCCGGCGGAUCCCAUAGCUGCACCUCGCAGCGGAAAAUAACGUUAAACUGAAACCUGGAAGAUGAAUGAGCGGCCAACCACAGAGGAUCUGGCGGAUCCCAUAGCUGCACCUCUCAGCGGAAAAUAACGUUAAACUGAAACCUGGAAGAUGAAUGAGCGGCGAACCUCAGAGGAUCUGGCGGAUCCCAUAGCUUCACCACUCAGCAGAA